UACAGAUCACAAUGGGUUCACUCCCAG
rnacentral:piRNA from 1 species